rnacentral:tRNA from 1 species
AAGGAUUUAGUUUAAAACAAAAACAUUAACUUGUCAAGUUAAAGUUACUUGUGUAAGUAAUUCUUA